rnacentral:sRNA from 1 species
GAUUCCCGGGACUAGGUUGCGGGAGAAAGCCUGUUGCGUGGAAGAUAAGGCGGCGCGGGAAGUGGACACAGGAUCUAACUGGACUCUCGCUCCUGCUGGCUGGACAUGGAGGAUUUGGAGGAAGAUGUAAGGUUUAUUGUGGAUGAGACCUUGGACUUUGGGGGGCUGUCACCAUCUGACAGCCGUGAGGAGGAAGACAUAACAGUGUUGGUGACUCCAGAGAAACCACUUCGACGGGGCCUCUCCCACCGAAGUGACCCAAAUGCAGUGGCACCUGCCCCCCAGGGUGUGAGGCUCAGCCUAGGCCCCCUCAGUCCAGAGAAGCUGGAGGAGAUCCUCGAUGAGGCCAACCGGCUGGCCGCUCAGCUGGAGCAGUGUGCCCUGCAGGAUCGGGAGAGCGCAGGCGAGGGCCUGGGGCCUCGCCGAGUGAAGCCCAGUCCUCGGCGGGAGACCUUUGUGCUGAAGGAUAGUCCUGUCCGAGACCUGCUGCCCACUGUGAACUCUUUGACGCGGAGCACCCCCUCCCCAAGCAGCCUGACGCCUCGACUCCGGAGUAAUGAUAGGAAGGGGUCAGUCAGGGCUCUCCGGGCUACAUCUGGAAAGAGGCCCUCCAACAUGAAGAGGGUGAGUUGAGAGAGUUGAGUUGGAGGUGUGCCCCAGACAUGGUGUGUGCCAUGAUGCAGGGAGUGGUUUCCUUAUUGGUAAAACAGGGAUAGUAUUUCUACAUCUAGAAUUGUUGGAAUUAAAUGAGAACCAUGAAAAAAGAGAACCAAAACUCUUACCACAGUGUCUGAGUAUAUGUCUAUGAUAAACUCAAUAAAUGGUAUUGGCAAUAGUGA